rnacentral:lncRNA from 1 species
ACAAUUCAACGUCACCCCCUCCCUGACUAGCAUGUGGGCUCCCCAGGUUGGAGCCCCUUUCCCUCUCUCCUGCAUGUCCAUUGCGGGCUGCAGUGUGUCUGGUGGGCAGAUGAGGAAGCUGAAAUACUGCAAGUUGAAAUGACUCAUCCUAGGUCCCAGGUCUAGUGAAGAGUGAGCACCAGAAAUCACAUAUACUAGACCACCAGCAGUCAGAUAUAAUCAGCUCCCAAAUCUCCUGUGGUUCACUAUAUAUAAAAGAAAAAAACAAAACAAGGAAUAUCCAACCAAAACAAGGUACAUACACAGGAGGGUUCACGGGGCGAGAACAGAUACAAACCAGAGAGAUUUUGAAGAGCCUGGGGUCUCUAGACAAUUCGGCACUGUUGUGGAUUGCAUGUUUGUAUCCCCUCUAAAUACGUAUGUUGAAGCCCGAGCCCCCAGUGUGAUGGUACUUGGAGAUGGGGCCUUCGGGAGGUGAUAAGGUCAUUAAAGUGGAGCCCUCAUGAAUGACAUUAGUGCCUUACAAGAAGAAGCAAGAGAGAGCUUGCUGCCUCU